CCUACGGGGGGCAGCAGUGGGGAAUAUUGCACAAUGGGCGGAAGCCUGAUGCAGCAACGCCGCGUGCGGGAUGACGGCCUUCGGGUUGUAAACCGCUUUCGCCUGUGACGAAGCGUGAGUGACGGUAAUGGGUAAAGAAGCACCGGCUAACUACGUGCCAGCAGCCGCGGUGAUACGUAGGGUGCGAGCGUUGUCCGGAUUUAUUGGGCGUAAAGGGCUCGUAGGUGGUUGAUCGCGUCGGAAGUGUAAUCUUGGGGCUUAACCCUGAGCGUGCUUUCGAUACGGGUUGACUUGAGGAAGGUAGGGGAGAAUGGAAUUCCUGGUGGAGCGGUGGAAUGCGCAGAUAUCAGGAGGAACACCAGUGGCGAAGGCGGUUCUCUGGGCCUUUCCUGACGCUGAGGAGCGAAAGCGUGGGGAGCGAACAGGCUUAGAUACCCCAGUAGUC
rnacentral:rRNA from 1 species